rnacentral:rRNA from 1 species
UACAGAGGUGGCAAGCGUUGUUCGGAAUUACUGGGCGUAAAGGGCGCGUAGGCGGCCUUCUAAGUCAGACGUGAAAUCCCCCGGCUUAACCUGGGAACUGCGUCUGAUACUGGGAGGCUUGAGUAUGGGAGAGGGAUGUAGAAUUCCAGGUGUAGCGGUGAAAUGCGUAGAGAUGGGGGAGAACACUCGUGGCGAAGGCGGCCAGCUAGACCAGUUCUGACACUGAGGCGCGACAGCGUGGGGAGCAAACAGG